rnacentral:rRNA from 1 species
GAAGAAACGUUUUCUGCAUCCAGGAUUAGCCUAAAUCCUUUGGGAUAAGGUAUCAUGGAGGGUGAGAAUCCCGUUCAUGGUUAAUCUUAAGGAAGCUCUACGAUACGUUUUCCAAGAGUCGAGUUGUUUGGGAUUGCAGCUCAAAAUGGGAGGUAAAUUUCUCCUAAGGCUAAAUAUUGGCGAGAGACCGAUAGCGAACAAGUACCGUGAGGGAAAGAUGA